ensembl:snRNA U4 U4 spliceosomal RNA
AGUAAAGCACACUGGCAGUAUCAUAGCCAAUGAGGUUAAUCUGAGGCAUAAUUAUUGCUAAUUGAAAAUCUUCUUUAAAGUCUCCACAUGAAAAUCCCAAAUUUAUUCCCAAAUUUAAUUACUGUAGGUUUUCAUUGAUC